UACGUAGGGGGCAAGCGUUGUCCGGAUUUAUUGGGCGUAAAGAGCGUGUAGGCGGCUAGGUAGGUCCGUUGUGAAAACUCGAGGCUCAACCUCGAGCUGUCGAUGGAAACCAUCUGGCUAGAGUCCGGAAGAGGAGAGUGGAAUUCCUGGUGUAGCGGUGAAAUGCGCAGAUAUCAGGAGGAACACCGGUGGCGAAGGCGGCAUCCUGGACCGACACUGACGCUGAGGCGCGAAAGCUAGGGGAUCAAACAGG
rnacentral:rRNA from 1 species